UACGGAGGGGGCUAGCGUUGUUCGGAAUUACUGGGCGUAAAGCGCACGCAGGCGGCUCGAUAAAUUAGAAGUGAAAGCCCCGGGCUUAACCUGGGAAUUGCUUUUAAGACUGUCGGGCUAGAAUCCAGAAGAGGGUAGUGGAAUUCCGAGUGUAGAGGUGAAAUUCGUAGAUAUUCGGAAGAACACCAGUGGCGAAGGCGACUACCUGGUCUGGCAUUGACGCUCAUGUGCGAAAGCGUGGGGAGCAAACAGG
rnacentral:rRNA from 1 species